UACGAAGGGUGCAAGCGUUAAUCGGAAUUACUGGGCGUAAAGCGUGCGUAGGCGGUUGUUUAAGUCCGCUGUGAAAUCCCCGGGCUCAACCUGGGAAUGGCAGUGGAUACUGGACAGCUAGAGUGUGUCAGAGGAUGGUGGAAUUCCCGGUGUAGCGGUGAAAUGCGUAGAGAUCGGGAGGAACAUCAGUGGCGAAGGCGGCCAUCUGGGACAACACUGACGCUGAGGCACGAAAGCGUGGGGAGCAAACAGG
rnacentral:rRNA from 1 species